GGAGAGAUGUCCGAGCGGUUGAAGGAGCGCGAUUGGAAGUCGCGUAUAUGUAACAGUAUCGUGGGUUCGAAUCCCACUCUCUCCG
rnacentral:tRNA from 3 species